rnacentral:rRNA from 1 species
GUGAGUAACACGUGGGUAACCUGCCUGUAAGACUGGGAUAACUCCGGGAAACCGGGGCUAAUACCGGAUGCUUGUUUGAACCGCAUGGUUCAAACAUAAAAGGUGGCUUCGGCUACCACUUACAGAUGGACCCGCGGCGCAUUAGCUAGUUGGUGAGGUAAUGGCUCACCAAGGCGACGAUGCGUAGCCGACCUGAGAGGGUGAUCGGCCACACUGGGACUGAGACACGGCCCAGACUCCUACGGGAGGCAGCAGUAGGGAAUCUUCCGCAAUGGACGAAAGUCUGACGGAGCAACGCCGCGUGAGUGAUGAAGGUUUUCGGAUCGUAAAGCUCUGUUGUUAGGGAAGAACAAGUACCGUUCGAAUAGGGCGGUACCUUGACGGUACC